rnacentral:lncRNA from 1 species
GGCCUAAGAAUUGGCCUCCCAUAAUUGUGAGGGUGGGGGAUCCUUUAUAGAAUAAGGACUCCUCACUUAUUACAUAUUUGCCCAUUCCUUUAUCACAUAAUUACAUUUAAGUCCCUCGAGUAUUUGUACGAGGUCUAAAUACGAGGCCCUAAAUAUGGUAUAAACAGUAGUCCCCCAAGUCUUCAGUUAAAAGAGUCUUUUAGCUGGAGACUUGAAAUUCAGUCCAUGUGUGGGCCGAAGUAACUAGAUGUUGUCUUGAAUUGAUGUUCGAUAUGAGGCGGUGCUCAAUCUGAAAUGAUGCUCAACUAGAAGUAGCACAUGCUGCGAGGCUGCGAGGCUCGUGGCUUAUAUUGCCUUGGUUGGCUCGGCUUGUGACGUUGAAGGUGAGGGAGUCCCUUUUAUAGAAUAAGGGCUCGCUCCUCAAUACAUAAAUGAUGGGU